rnacentral:rRNA from 1 species
UUGGUGAGGUAAAGGCUUACCAAGGCUUCGAUCAGUAGCUGGUCUGAGAGGACGACCAGCCACACUGGGACUGAGACACGGCCCAGACUCCUACGGGAGGCAGCAGUGGGGAAUUUUGGACAAUGGGGGCAACCCUGAUCCAGCCAUGCCGCGUGAGUGAAGAAGGCCUUCGGGUUGUAAAGCUCUUUCAGCCGGAACGAAACGGUCACGGUUAAUAACUGUGAUCACUGACGGUACCGGAAGAAGAAGCACCGGCUAACUACGUGCCAGCAGCCGCGGUAAUACGUAGGGUGCGAGCGUUAAUCGGAAUUACUGGGCGUAAAGCGUGCGCAGGCGGUUUUGUAAGUCAGAUGUGAAAUCCCCGGGCUUAACCUGGGAACUGCGUUUGAACUAACCAAGGCUA